rnacentral:tRNA from 1 species
ACUGUGGCUUAGUGGAAGAGCCUCUGCUUUGCAUGCAGAAAGUCCCUAGUUCAAUCUUUGGAAUCUAUA